rnacentral:rRNA from 1 species
GCUUACACAUGCAGUCGAACGAACUCUUCGGAGUGAGUGGCGGACGGGUGAGUAACGCGUGAGAAUCUGCCUGUGGGUCGGGGACAACCACUGGAAACGGUGGCUAAUACCGGAUGAGCCGAAAGGUAAAAAAUUUAUUGCCCACAGAUGAGCUUGCGUCUGAUUAGCUAGUUGGUAAGGUAAAAGCGUACCAAGGCGACGAUCAGUAGCUGGUCUGAGAGGAUGAGCAGCCACACUGGGACUGAGACACGGCCCAGACUCCUACGGGAGGCAGCAGUGGGGAAUUUUCCGCAAUGGGCGAAAGCCUGACGGAGCAAGACCGCGUGGGGGAGGAAGGUUUUUGGAUCGUAAACCCCUUUUGUCAAGGAAGAAGUUCUGACGGUACUUGACGAAUAAGCCUCGGCUAACUCCGUGCCAGCAGCCGCGGUAAUACGGAGGAGGCAAGCGUUAUCCGGAAUGAUUGGGCGUAAAGCGUCUGUAGGUGGCCAGCUAAGUCUGCUGUUAAGAUCACAGCUCA